UACGGGGGGAGCAAGCGUUGUUCGGAUUUACUGGGCGUAAAGGGCGCGUAGGCGGCCAGCACAAGUCAGUUGUGAAAUCUCCGAGCUUAACUCGGAACGGUCAACUGAUACUGUGCGGCUAGAGUGCGGAAGGGGCAACUGGAAUUCUUGGUGUAGCGGUGAAAUGCGCAGAUAUCGGGAGGAACACCGAUGGCGAAGGCAGCCCCCUGGGCCAGCACUGACGCUCAUGCACGAAAGCGUGGGGAGCAAACGAGGAUU
rnacentral:rRNA from 1 species